CCAGACUCCUACGGGAGGCAGCAGUGGGGAAUAUUGGACAAUGGGGGGAACCCUGAUCCAGCGACGCCGCGUGAGUGAAGAAGUAUUUCGGUAUGUAAAGCUCUAUCAGCAGGGAAGAAAGAAAUGACGGUACCUGACUAAGAAGCCCCGGCUAACUACGUGCCAGCAGCCGCGGUAAUACGUAGGGGCAAGCGUUAUCCGGAUUUACUGGGUGUAAAGGGAGCGUAGACGGCGAUGCAAGCCAGAUGUGAAAGCCCGGGGCUCAACCCCGGGACUGCAUUUGGAACUGUGUGGCUGGAGUGUCGGAGAGGCAGGCGGAAUUCCUAGUGUAGCGGUGAAAUGCGUAGAUAUUAGGAGGAACACCAGUGGCGAAGGCGGCCUGCUGGACGAUGACUGACGUUGAGGCUCGAAAGCGUGGGGAGCAAACAGGAUUAGAUACCCUUGUAC
rnacentral:rRNA from 1 species